rnacentral:misc_RNA from 1 species
GAAACCACAUGGCCUUAAUAGAAAGGAUGAAGUUCUUUCUCGAGUGCACACAGCUCUAAAAGACAUCUCAGACUUGGUGCCUCUUGCACCCUUGAGAUUAGAGCAGAUAGUUGUCCAUAAAAUGCAGAGAGUCUUUUUCAAAGAAUCCUUGACCACGAUAUAUGUUGAAAACAUGUUGAGGUUGGAAAAGGGUGCAAUGAGUGAAUUUGUUGGGAGAAAGAUCUUAACUGCGCUGGUGGAUAAGCUUUUAGAUUUGGAUGUGGAGAUUGGGUGGGAUGAUAUCCUACAAGACGAUUUCAGUAAAGGAAUUUUUGAGAUGGAACUUGAAGAUGAUGAUGAAACCACAGACGAUAUUAAUGAGGAUUCUAGUGAGGUAUGCUAUUCAUUAUCUAGGCUGGAUUAAGAAG